ACACACUUGACGCAGUUCACACACUCUGCCUACUGCACAUGCGCAAUCUCAUAAAUGAAUCCGACUUUAAUCAACUUAAUUAAGAUCUAUCAUCAAAUUAUUCGAAUUUUUGGUCAGAGGCCGGGGUGGAGUGCAUGAGCCGCGGUCAGACAGUCACCAAUCACCGGGCGGCUAAAUGGAUCGACGGAGGAUAAAACCAUUAAAAGAUGCGGAGAAACACAUCACCAGCUCCACUGACAAGACCCAUUCACUGGAAACCGAAUAUAUAGAAGGUUACUAAG
ensembl:processed_transcript